UUUAAGCAUAUUAAUAAGCGGAGGAAAAGAAACUACCAAGGAUUCCCUUAGUAGCUGCGAGCGAACAGGGAAAUGCUCAGCAUAAAAUCUUGUAACUUUACAGUUAUCAAGAGAUGUUAUGUUUAGGGAGUUUCGUUUAUCCUAUAAUGUACAUUUAGUCCAAGUCCACCUUGAAUGGGGCAUAUCCCGUAGAGGGUGCCAGUCCCGUGGUGACAAGUGUUUAUAAAUCAUUAUAGGUGAAACUUUCCUUAGAGUCGGGUUGCUUGUAAAUGCAGCUCUAAGUGGGUGGUAAACUCCAUCUAAAGCUAAAUAUAACCACGAGACCGAUAGCGAACAAGUAC
rnacentral:rRNA from 1 species